GGUAGGAGGAAAUGGGAUCCUUGAGUCACUGGAUGUAUUUGAGCUCCCACUAACCUGUCUGGAUGAGACUUUGGUUUUAGGCCUUCAACAAUAGAACAGUGGAAAUACUGAUGCAAAUCCUGAUAAUUAUGCAGUUCAAUGAGCAGGCGAAUGGAGACAAACACAGACCAGAAGGAUGAGUUUGACUAUAGGCAUGUGACCUGCUCGUAGCAAAUAAGACCCAAGGGGAAAUCUACUGGGAUGGAGGUGGGGAGCUUCUAGGAAAAGUUCCUCUUGCUAACAAAAAGAAAGACUAAAGUAAACAUCUUUGAAUUGCUAAUGAUCAUCGUGUUUACCUAUGAUGCCAAGAACUGCUACAGCUAUCUUGAGUUUGCACCAGGAACUUCCUCGACACACUAAGAAUUGUGAACUAAAAAGAUGGAAAGCCCCUGGGCCUAUGAUGAUGUCAUUGUGCCACUAUAUUUACCUUAGACUUGUUUCAUGUCUGAACUUCUGUUUAAAAUUUAUCUUCUAUUACUAGGCCUUGUAAGCAUCUUACCUUGUGGAGUGGUCAAUCGUUUAACAGGUCAGAUGCCUGCCGACCUUUUCCCAGAUUUGUAAUAAUGGCAGGCAAAGUUCCUCUAUCUGAGCAUGAACCUAGGAUGAAUCAAAGCACUAUGAAAGAGAUCAGCCAUCAGCAGAAGCUGAUAGACAGUCCUGAGGAGAUUUGGGAAAUACCCAAAUUCUGUCCUGGUAGUACCUAUAACUUAAGGAAGUGUCUUAAUCAAUUUUCUGAAGAUAGGGAAGUAUAACCGGAAUAAUGGUGCAACUAUCAGGCAGUAUUUUUUAGUGAAUGUUCAUGAAGGAAGUUUAUAAAGCAAGAAACUGCCAAGGUUGAUCAGCUAAGUAUUCUGGUCCCUCCAGAAAGAAGGACUUUGUAGCAGAGUAGGGAGAGUUCAUUAGAUGUGGCUGUGACAUGGAUGAAAUAUUCCAGGAGACUAUCUGAUUACCUUUCCUCAGAUGUUGUGCACAUCAGAGAACCUUCUGAUGACUAAUUCAGUUCCUCAGAGUCCUUGAUUGAGAA